UUCCUUUAUUGUGCUCCCCUUUCGUCCUCCAUCCAUCUCUUUCUUCAGGAUCACUGGGCUCAUCUGCUCCCAUUUUUUGGCUCCUCACACACACCAGGCAGAGCCAGGCCCAACUUUUAAUUUGCUGGAUGGGGCUUCAGCUCAUUGUCUGAUCACAGGUAUGAUGGAUGUUACAUAACGCUGGUGAAUAAAAUGCAUUAGGAAAUGCCGUCCCCUCUUAUCUGAGUGUGGAGAGGUGAGCUGGUUCCAGCUCUUAUUCAUGUCCACAAAGAUCCUGUAAACAAUUACCCCGCUCGAUUUCACACCUCUUCAGCCCAGAACUACCUGAUGUUUUUCAUUUGUUGCCUGCAGCCUGCUGAACAGUUUCCCCCUCGCUGUUCUAAGAUGAUUUUUUUACUACAGUAGCUAUUUCUCGUAUUUAUUUAAGAGUCUGCAGCUCCACAGCAAAUAUGAAUAAAUAUGGUGAAAUGAAGGCGACGCUAACAGAAGCACGCAGCUGCCUUUGAAGCGUGUUUACAGACACAAGGAGGAAAUUUCUACGUAGAAUGAAAAAUAAAAAUGGUUUUCUAUUGACUUGGUUGGAUUAAGAUACAGAAGUGGUUUAUUGGAGAAAUAAGAAAAAGAUACAAGAAUCAUCACGAGGGGGUUAGGGAUUGUAGGAGCUGCACCAGUACGGCACAUCCAGGGGUGUUUGUGAUCAUGGGUUCAUCUCCACAUAAACGUCUUUAGUUAAUGAUGUGGUUAUGAGUAAACAUUGUAUUAUAUUGUGCUGGUAUCCUUUAGGCUAUUGCACUGUAUGGUUUUGUAAGUGGCGAUGCCAGGAAUCAGCACGCCUUGGUUUCAUCCUCCAUCUGCCACCUGCUUCCGUUCAUCCUGACCUUGAAGUCUCCCCCUGCAGGUGGUGGGCUCACAUGGGCUGAGUCCAGCAGAACCUCAGAAGCCAAGGCUCCACCUCCAGGCACUUGUUGAUGAGUAAGUGACAAGCAGGUUAAGUUGGUUGUCUUGUUCAUGAUGGUAGGACGGAGCUAGAGAUGAACUGAUGGAUUAGAGCUUGGUCUGCUGUGGUGGUGGUGCUCCUCUGUUCUGUUGAGGUGACAAAAGGAGCUCAGACGAAAGAUGACACUUUGAAAAAAAUUGUCCACCUGUAUUGUUAAGAGUUUUAAUGUAUUACUCUCUUAAAUGUUCCUUUUUAAGUGAUCAUAUGUUGAUCUUAUGAUUGUGAAGUAAGCCACAGGGCUUUGGAAUGCAGCCUGAUGUUUAUCUGUGGGGAGUUGGGAAUGCUCUGCUUGGCAACAGAAAAGCUAGCAGCCACCCCUGUAACUUGAGACUUCCUUUUUAGAAGGUCCCGCCUUAGAUAGAAGCAACAGUGUUAUUGGUUAAGUGUGGACAGUGAUGGAUUGUUCUUUGUCCUUAUUUGCCCGUGUUUCAAUAAAACCAGCUGGAGAGAGAGAACACACCAGAGUUGAUCGGACAUGGGCCUUUGCAGGCUUUUGACCGGUUGCUCUCCGCUGCCUCUCGCAGCGUAUAAAACCUACUGACUUCUCUCCUGUUUGGUUCAUUUCAGGAUAUAAAAAUAUCUAACAUGUAUCCAUACCUGUGGUCAUGAGAUUAAAAUUAUGGGUAAGGAACAAACUCCUGGAAACAAUCGACUAAAAUGAGCGUCCUUGAUUUUUCCUAGGCUGGCUGGAAUCAUCAUUAGAAAUAGGAUGAGAUGAGCUCCAUAAUCCAAGUAAGCUUUGAGAAGAGCUGCUGCUCUUACACAACAACAGGAGCCAGUUGAGGUGGCUCGGGUAUUUCAUCAGGACCCCUCCUCAGGAGCUCCUGUAUAUUCCACUGGGAGGAGAUCCAGAACCCACUGAAAGGAAAUGAACGUCCUCUUUGGUCUGGCAAUGCCUUGGGGAUCUUAAGGAGGAGCUGUCUCUGGAUGGAAGGAGUUUACCUCCUUGAUAUAAACUUACGAAGAAAAAACAGAUAGAUAGAUAGAUAGAUAGAUAGAUAGAUAGAUAGAUAGAUAGAUAGAUAGAUAGAUAGAUAGAUAGAUAGAUACGUAGAUAGAUAGAUAGAUAGAUAGAUAGAUAGAUAGAUAGAUAGAUAGAUAGAUAGAUAGAUAGAUAGAUAGAUAGAUAGAUAGAUAGAUAGAUAGAUAGAUAGAUAGAUGAUAGAUAGAUAGAUAGAUAGAUAGAUAGAUAGAUAGAUAGAUAGAUAGAUAGAUAGAUAGAUAGAUAUUCAGAAAUAAGCCUCAGUGAUCUGAGUAUUGAUACUUAAUCAGAUUGUUAUAUUUAUUUACAUUUUGUUUAGAAUGAUAUAUUUCAUGCCUAUUGACAUCUCCCUUUAUUAUUGUAAAAACAAAGACAAGUUUUGACAUUUUGCUGCCAACAACUCCACCAUAACACACAAACAUAAUGAACUUGAUUCUUGCUCCUGGAAUAGAAGGAGCAGCACGAUUCCAUACUCAGUCCACUUUUGUUCCUAAAAAUAAAACUCAGGAAACUGGGGCAGCACCGGUCCAGUCAGAAACACCCCCACCCCGUCCCCAUUGAGCUGUCGUUUCAUUUCUCUUUGUGUCUCUAGCCUGGGGGUGCCAGUGUGCCCAUCUGCACUCUGGUGCUCAAGGAUCCGCCAGGCAUCCGGACAAAAGCCGCCAGUGUGGGAAUAAUGAUGGCUUCUCCAGUCAGAUGAAUCAGCUGCUUAUUCCAGACGGCAGCUCUUCUGCUGUUAUUGCUGCCUGCUUUAUUAACUCUCCUCCGCCCGGUGGCUCGGCUAUAUUACUUCUCUAAACGAUGACCUCCAGAAGCUGACCGGAGUCUGACCUCUGAUGCGACACGGCUGCAUUUCAUGCAGUGGCUCUUCUCCAAAAUGCCACAAGGUGCCUCCCCCUCACCCCCACCUGCUGCGCCUCUGAGGGGAGGUGAAGGAGAGGCUGGGAGGGGAGGAGGGUGCUGCAGAGGCAAAACAGCAGCAGGUACAUGCUUUUUAAAAAGACUCUGACCUUUACAGUAGGCAGAAUGUCACUUUUAGUUUAAAUGCGGGCGGUGAGCGAACAGCGCCCACCUGAGCACAACUCUGACCCCACAGCUCGAAUAAAACCACAAACAAAGCUGGAGAGAGGAAGAUUCAUUGUCGGGUAAUCGAACUGACGCCGGCAGAAACGGCAGCCUAAAUCAGGAGGUGGUGACAAAACCAGACAGUUUGAAAACAUCACAUAACACAUUCCUCAAGUUGUCACACUGCUGUCAAAACUCGUUUUCGCUCCUGUCCACCUCAAUAAGUCAGACUUCUCCUUCAACUUUGCAUGUGCUGCAUUAAAAAACCGUAGUAGUGGAAAGAAAACAAAGUGUGUUUUAAUAGUUUUUGUUUCCUGCUGCAAGGUGAAGUCUUAAAUUCAGCACGUCUCCCCUUGCAGGGGGUACAUACAUUUAGUACAUUUCAAAUGUUGAACUAGUUCCUCUAAUGAACCAUUUCUGAAUAUGGCCACAGAGAUUGUGAUUUAUCCCACUGCCAGUGAAAGCAGCAGCAGGAAAGCAGAAGCUGGAGACCUUUCUAGCUCAUAUAGAUUGUAGUCACUAUUAACUUCAUUGCCUCCUGAUGAAGAAGAAAGGCUACAAUCAGAAUAUUAAAUAUUAAACACACUCUUAUGAAUUAAAUCUGUGUUAUUUUCAGAUUUUUCUCAGACUUGUACUACAUGCAGUGUAAAGUAUGUAAGGCUAUUCCCACCAAUCAUGAAAAAAAAAAUUAAAAUAUCUCAUAAAUGUGACUUAGUCUCUCAUUAUUAUGAAAUAUCUGAGUAGCAGGAAUGGGCUUCCAUACUUAAGACAUCAGCGUCUCUAAAAAGCAGAAAUAAUUUCUCUGCUUGCAGCAAGAGCAUGAAAUAGAAAUACAAGUCAUGUAUCUGUGCGGGAAACCAAAACUCAGUGGCGCAGAGUGGGAACAACUUGCACUCACUUUGUGCAGUCUAAUGAUCCCAGAAGGUGGAAUUGCAACACCUCAUUUAGCUGCAGCGUUGACAUGCCCAUCGCCAGCUGAUGCAGACAGGGAACAACUUUUCCUGUUAAAAUUGCCACAAGAAUACCAGAGAUGUUGUUGCAUUUGUGGGGAAAUGCUCAUCAAAUACUUUUCCAGGCAAACUGCAUGUAAAAUAAAUCUUUUGUUUGUUUUCCAAAUCAAAACAUCAAGACAGCAACAGAUGCUUGCAGAACACUAAUCUGAGAGCUUCAUACAUACAUGGUUGGGUGGUGGUGUGUAAAAAUCAGGUCUGACUGUGGGGUCGAAAAGAAUUCCUGCAUGACAGCACCGUAAUUUCAUUUAUCACGCCUCAGCACGCACCAAAUCAGACAUGGAUGCUCCUCAUUCUGCCACGGGUGUGUGCCGGUUUUCAUUGGGAGAUGGGAGGUGAGGGGGGUGGGGGAGGGUCAAAGGGGCAGCACGGAAACAUCGGUGGGGCUGCGUUAGAUUCGAUUUCCACCCUUGUUGGGGCUCCUCAAGCGGAGCAAAUGCAGCACGCAGGAGCAGCUGAAAGGAGGUGAACACACAGGGGACUGUCGAGAGGAAAAGAGGGAGUGACAGGUGCAGGCACGCAAGGGUUAACGGAGGAAGGGAACCUCAGUGAUUGGAUCCAAUUCCCAGGAAGUUUGGGGUGAAAACAGAAGAAAUCCAGCUAGUUGAGUUCUGACAAGCCGAGCAGAGUGAGAAGAUUCAAAUGAAGGCCCCAGAGAAAGGAUAAAAGAGGAAGUUAUAGAAAACAGGUUUACGUUCUAAUCUACCACCUGUUGUUCCAACAGAUGGAAAAGCAUAUUGUAAAUCUGGCACAGUGUCGUGUCUACUGAGAGAACCUGAAUGCAUCAAACCAGUCAAAUGGUUAAAGAUUAAAAAUGGUGAGUUACGUUAAAUCAACCCAUCACACUUCACCGUGACGAAGAGCUUCGUUCUACUGGGAUCAGAUCAUUUUACCUGCUACAAGCAGAUUUUAAAUACAAUUUAUUUUACUGUUUGACCGGUUACUUCAAAAUAAAAGUGUCUUUGGUUGCCUUUAUGAUAAAUGUGCAGUGCACCCCUGUGUGCAUGACAGAUGUGAUGAGCUUCAGUCAUGUAAAAAACAGAAAAGAUCAGUUAGAAAAGGUUUGUUAGAUAAGCUAAUUAUGGGUCUUUCACUGUGUAAAAAAACAACAACAAACAUUUGUUUUCUUUGGUGAUGAGAACUGAGGCUCCAUCUGCUUUGCUCUUUUACCGUUUAGUGAUUAGUUUGUUGGUUGUAAAAAUCCUCGGCGAAAGCAGAGGUAAUCAUGUGUUUGUGAUCACUGGUGAGUCACACACAUCGCUGUGGAAGGAUGUGCCACAUUGAGUUUUUUUGGGGUCAAAGGUCAAACAGUCUACAUCAGAAUCUUUUGGUAGGAAGAAUUCAUAAUUUAUCAUUUGCAGCAAGUCAUCCAUGCACCCAGAGCAUCGCACUACCAUGUUUGACUGCUGGUAUGCUAUUUUUUGUGAAAUGCAGAUU